rnacentral:rRNA from 1 species
UACAGAGGUCCCAAGCGUUGUUCGGAUUCACUGGGCGUAAAGCGCACGUAGGCGGCUUGGCAAGUCGGAUGUGAAAUCCCUCGGCUCAACCAAGGAAGUGCAUCCGAAACUGCUGAGCUUGAGUACGAAAGAGGAUCGCGGAAUUCCCGGUGUAGAGGUGAAAUUCGUAGGUAUCGGGAGGAACACCAGUGGCGAAGGCGGCGAUCUGGGUCGAUACUGACGCUGAGGUGCGAAAGCGUGGGGAGCAAACAGG